rnacentral:rRNA from 1 species
CGGGGGGAGCAUGUGGUUUAAUUCGAAGCAACGCGAAGAACCUUGCCAGGUCUUGACAUCCCUUUGACCAUGCUAGAGAUAGCAUUUCUCUUCGGAGCAAAGGUGACAGGUGGUGCAUGGUUGUCGUCAGCUCGUGUCGUGAGAUGUUGGGUUAAGUCCCGCAACGAGCGCAACCCCUAUGUUUAGUUACCAUCAUUCAGUUGGGGACUCUAGACAGACUGCCGGUGACAAACCGGAGGAAGGUGGGGAUGACGUCAAAUCAUCAUGCCCCUUAUGACCUGGGCUACACACGUGCUACAAUGGGGAGUACAACGAGCAGCAAGCUGGUGACAGCAAGCGAAUCUCUGAAAGCUCCUCUCAGUUCGGAUUGUAGGCUGCAACUCGCCUACAUGAAGCCGGAAUCGCUAGUAAUCGCGGAUCAGCACGCCGCGGUGAAUACGUUCCCGGGCCUUGUACACACCGCCCGUCACACCACGAGAGUUUGUAACACCCGAAGUCGGUGAGGUAACCAUUUGGAGCCAGCCGCCGAAGGUGGGAUAGAUGAUUGGGGUGAAGUCGUAACAAGGUAGCCGUAAAUCGA